AUAAUUUUUAAAAAGAUUAUCAAUGUUUUCUGAAGAGGAUCUUAGAAAUGGCCAUGAAUCCAUAAUAACGGACAAAACAAUGCAGCAAAAAUGGCAUUCAGUACGAGAUGCAUUCAAGCGAUUUUUGUACAAAAGAGAAGGCAGCCACCAGUGGAUCUGGUGCACCAAACAUUGAAGUUUAGAAAUAUGCUCCUAAUCUUCAAUUUCUACAAAAAAAUGUUUUGCCAUUCGGAAGACAACAUGCAGUGUUUCAGCAUUGGAAAAGAAUAAAUCACAUGCAGUGUUUUCCACCCAACGAGAGAGCCCAACAGCUGCUGAAGAAGCAAAGUCAAAUAGGAUUCAAAUGCAACAUUUCAGAAGACUUCAAUGAAAAGAUGCUGAAUAUAGGGAAAGUCUAGUUUUGGAGGUGAUGCAGAAAACUGAAGAGUUUUGAAGGCAAACAUAUGGCACCUGUCAGAAUGUUGUGUUUAGAAGGAGGGUGGAGUGGUGAUAAACAAAAUGCUGACCGUAACUUUCUGUUAUCACUAC